ensembl:lncRNA
CUUUCUAACAGCCUCCAGCCACGGGCUUUCCUUUUCUCCUUGGUCUUUCACACACUGAAAUGCCCUGCUCUGACAGCUCCUGCAUGGCUGAGCUGUGGGAUCAGAAUCAGGGGAGAAGAGGAGAGAAAUCUUACCUGUUCUUUCAGCGAGCAAAGCCGCAUGGGAGAAACCCCUCGCUGCAGUUUGAGAGCAUGCCCUGGCUCUACCAUAUUCAAGGAGGAGCAUUAAAAAUGCAUUGUCAGCCCUAGAAGGAAACCUUAUCAUUGCUGUGCAGCCCGGACACCAUGCGUUACCAAUAGGGCAUAUAGGAGGUGCUUCUAUUGCCAUGGGGCUGUGCUGUACUUGUGGUGCUUGGGAAGGGUGUAUUUGGUGCCUUCGGUGUUGUGUGGCUGGUGUUAGAAGCAGAAAACUCAAGCACAACUGGAUAAAGAAUAGUUCUAAGAAGGGCAGGGGAUCAUUCUGAAGAUUUCACAGGAAAACAAGAAUUAGAAUCAAAAUAAAGAAAACUGAGAGGAAAGAUAACAAAAAAAAAAAAAAAAAAGAAAGUGAACACUGCAACCCUCCCAAAGCCAGAACAGCUUUCUAUCCAUGCAUGAGCAUCCCGGCUGGAGCGCAACCAAGCUGCUUCCAUCAGACCUGCACACCUCCCAGGUGUGUCUGCUGGAGCUUAUACCUAUGCAUAACUUGAACACUUUAUUCUAAAAGGAAAAGCAAUAAAAAUCAAAGCAGGCUUGUAUACAAGUUAAAUCUUCUGUUAAGGAGCGGUAAUGUUAUUUGUUUUCAAUCAAAUGAGGGCAAUAAAAGCCAAGAUGUGUAAUGAAACCCCACCUGGUGUGUAUCGGCCUUGACACAGCCUUUUUAUUCAACAUAGCCUUUGCUUAAUGGAAAUCCCUGGCAAAGAGCCAGAGCCAGGGCUGUAAUGUUUGUAAAUAGCUGUUGCUUUCAGCCUGACUUUCCCCAGAGAAAACCAUGCAGGAAUAAAAAAAGUGAAGAUUCGGUAACAGCGUAAUUGCGUCACAUAACGGCCACCCCCGGGAAGCCAUCUGAAGUUUUAAUGCUCUAAAACGAAUGCUGAAUUCACUCGUUUUCUCUAACAAAGGUGGCUGUUGCGGUGGCUGCACACACACCAGAGGACUGCUGAAGGAGAGCGGAACAAAUGCCAUUUGCAAUUCAAGUGCCUUUAGACCCCAGAUGCUGCUGCCUCACAACCACUCUUCUGCAACCUUGAUGAAGGAUGGUAAUUAUCCCUCCAGUACUGGUGACCAGCACAGGCCCGGCCCUAAUCUCUUGCUGAUGCGGGCGACAGACCUGCUCAAGGACACAGAGGCACAGGUUGGUGCCAGGCCAUUGAAAUGACACCGAGUCAGGCUGGAUUUGACUCAUACUCCUGGUCCUGCAUGCUAGAAUAAAUAUCUGCAGCUCUGGCAUGACAGAGAUGGGGCUUCAGAACCUUCCCAUCUUGUACUGGGGCUUGCUCAAUAUUGGGCUCCCCUCUUGGCAGCCAGGAGAACCCCAGAGCCACCUCAAGCUUUCCGAUCCACUUCUUUUAACCUGGCACUCAACUAUAAACAGCUGCCGGUGGCACACACGGUAUAUUAAGCUUCUGGAGAAAUGAACUAGUUUUCAUCAACAGCCCAGCCAUCCUCUUGCUGUUUCCAGCCACUGCUAUUGCCUUGGAUCUCCAGACGCUGACCUAGCCUCUGCUUGGCAUUCAAGUUGUAACACCUUUGACACUAACAACCCACUCAGGAAGCCACAGGAAUAAGUUAUGUUCUCUGAAUGACGUGUUUCGGCCUUUAUUCUGCUCACGAACAUGGACCAGAGUUUCAAGUUAUCAGCCGUUUCUUACAGAACACUACUCAUUCAGAUGUUCCUCUUGGCAUUAAGCUAUAAACAUGGGGCCUACCAUGAGGGCCUACUCGUAUGUUGAGGGGUGAUAUGCUACUACCUGAGCCAUGCCACCUGCUCAAAGAAAGGGAGAGAGUAACAGCAUCUCCCAGCUAACCUCAGGCAUAGUCUCUUCAGGGGGCAGCAGGCUGAGUGCAAAGUCAAAUUUGCCUUAGAGGAAAAUCUAUCCAAGUGGGGAUUCUGAUGGAGAGAGAAUUUCAUCCAACUAUUCCGUGAUGUGGUGUGUGCCUGCCUUGCUGCACCCAGCAGCAGCUGCUUCACUGCUUCACUGAUCAAAGCUGGCAAGUUAUUUUAGACAUUUUGUAGGAGCUGGUUACCCACAGUAUGCUUCAUGUUCAGUUGGCCUUGGUCAUACCCACAUCUGGGGCAUGGUGCAGAGUUAGGCUGCCUAGUGACCUUGCCAGGUGGGAGAUGGCCCUUGGUGCAAAGACUGGCUGGGGAUACACUGAUGGUGAUGAGGAACUCCUGUUUGGUACUGCUGAUGAAGGCCAUCUCUCCCACAUGCAAAUCCAUGUUGUCACAGAACUGUACACUGAACUUGAGGAACAGUCCCACCAUCAUCGCUGAACAUACCUCUAGGUAAUGGCAGACUGUGGCUGGCAUGAAUCUGCCCUUGUCAUCCAAGGUGCAAACUUCUGCUCUGCUGCUUACCCCUAGCAGCCACAGAGCUGGGCAAGGAGGCAGCAUUCCCCAUCAUGUGCUUACAUUAAAACGCAAUCCUACAUCUUCAAGCUAGGUGUAUGAACAAUAACCUCAAGUCACUGUCUGAUGUCCUGCUGUUGGACUAGGAUUGCUUCAUGUGAAGAGCGUUUUGUCAAAAUAAAUUGCACUGU